GGUUAAGUCAGGCAACGAGCGAGACCCGUGCCCACAGUUGCCAGCAUACCCUCCGGGGUGAUGGGCACACUGUGGGGACCGCCGCUGCUAAAGCGGAGGAAGGUGCGGGCUACGGUAGGUCAGUAUGCCCCGAAUCAUCCGGGCUACACGCGGGCUACAAUGGUUGGGACAAUGAGCACCUACACCGAGAGGUGAUGGUAAUCUCCUAAACCCAGCCUUAGUUCGGAUUGAGGGCUGCAACUCGCCCUCAUGAAGCCGGAAUCCGUAGUAAUCGCGUUUCAACAUAGCGCGGUGAAUACGUCCCUGCUCCUUGCACA
rnacentral:rRNA from 1 species